rnacentral:rRNA from 1 species
GAUGAACGCUAGCGGGAGGCCUAACACAUGCAAGCCGAGCGGUAUAGAUCUUUCGGGAUCUUGAGAGCGGCGUACGGGUGCGGAACACGUGUGCAACCUGCCUUUAUCUGGGGGAUAGCCUUUCGAAAGGAAGAUUAAUACCCCAUAAUAUUUAGAAUGGCAUCAUUUUAAAUUGAAAACUCCGGUGGAUAGAGAUGGGCACGCGCAAGAUUAGAUAGUUGGUGAGGUAACGGCUCACCAAGUCUGCGAUCUUUAGGGGGCCUGAGAGGGUGAUCCCCCACACUGGUACUGAGACACGGACCAGACUCCUACGGGAGGCAGCAGUGAGGAAUAUUGGACAAUGGGUGAGAGCCUGAUCCAGCCAUCCCGCGUGAAGGACGACUGCCCUAUGGGUUGUAAACUUCUUUUGUAUAGGGAUAAACCUACUCUCGUGAGAGUAGCUGAAGGUACUAUACGAACAAGCACCGGCUAACUCCGUGCCAGCCGCCGCAGUAAAAC